AUACCCUAGAUUAGAUAAUGUCAUUAAAGCCUACCUUUGUUAUAGUUGACUUAGUCACCUUUUAUUGGAAAGGGUGAAUGAGCUAGUGAUGUUCUGAGUUUGGUAUAUAUUGAUGUAUAUGCACUCAUGAACAUAAGUGCCAGAAGAGGAUUUUACCACUUCAUUAAAAUCUCAGAUGAUCUAUCUUGGUAUGGGUGCGUCUUGCUUAUGAAGCACAAAUUUGAAUUGAUUAAAAUAUUCAAAUAAUUUCGUAAUAAGAUAGAAAAA
rnacentral:lncRNA from 1 species